CAAUAGCGUAUAUUAAAGUUGUUGCGGUUAAAAAGCUCGUAGUUGGAUUUCUGCUUGGGACGACCGGUCCGCCCUCUGGGUGUGCAUCUGGUUCGGCCCGGGCAUCCUCUUGGGGGACGUUGCUGCACUUGAUUGUGUGGUGCGGUACCCAGGACUUUUACUUUGAGGAAAUUAGAGUGUUUCAAGCAGGCAAUUGCCUUGAAUACAUUAGCAUGGAAUAAUAAUAUAGGAUUUUGGUUUCUAUUUUGUUUGGUUUCUUAGAGCUGAAAUAAUGAUUAAUAGGGACAAUUGGGGGUCGAUUCGUAUUAACGACGUCAGAGGUGAAAUUACUUGGAUUGCGUUACGACGAACUAACUGCGAAAGCAUUUGCCAAGGAUGUUUUCUAUUGAUCAAGAACGAAAGUAAGGGGAUCGAAGAUGAUUAGAUACCAU
rnacentral:rRNA from 1 species